rnacentral:rRNA from 1 species
CCUACGGGAGGCAGCAGUGGGGAAUUUUGGACAAUGGGCGCAAGCCUGAUCCAGCAAUGCCGCGUGCAGGAUGAAGGCCUUCGGGUUGUAAACUGCUUUUGUACGGAACGAAACGGUCUGCUCUAAUACAGUGGGCUAAUGACGGUACCGUAAGAAUAAGCACCGGCUAACUACGUGCCAGCAGCCGCGGUAAUACGUAGGGUGCGAGCGUUAAUCGGAAUUACUGGGCGUAAAGCGUGCGCAGGCGGUUAUAUAAGACAGAUGUGAAAUCCCCGGGCUCAACCUGGGACCUGCAUUUGUGACUGUAUAGCUAGAGUGCGGCAGAGGGGGAUGGAAUUCCGCGUGUAGCAGUGAAAUGCGUAGAUAUGCGGAGGAACACCGAUGGCGAAGGCAAUCCCCUGGGCCUGCACUGACGCUCAUGCACGAAAGCGUGGGGAGCAAACAGGAUUAGAUACCCUGGUAGUCCACGCCCUAAACGAUGUCAACUGGUUGUUGGGUCUUCACUGACUCAGUAACGAAGCUAACGCGUGAAGUUGACCGCCUGGGGAGUACGGCCGCGAAGGUUGAAACUCAAAGGAAUUGACGG